CUUACCAAGGCUUGACAUGUUCUCGAUCGCCGUAGAGAUACGGUUUCCCCUUUGGGGCGGGUUCACAGGUGGUGCAUGGUUGUCGUCAGCUCGUGUCGUGAGAUGUUGGGUUAAGUCCCGCAACGAGCGCAACCCUCGUUCCAUGUUGCCAGCACGUAAUGGUGGGGACUCAUGGGAGACUGCCGGGGUCAACUCGGAGGAAGGUGAGGACGACGUCAAAUCAUCAUGCCCCUUAUGUCUUGGGCUUCACGCAUGCUACAAUGGCCGGUACAAUGGGUUGCGAUACUGUGAGGUGGAGCUAAUCCCAAAAAGCCGGUCUCAGUUCGGAUUGGGGUCUGCAACUCGACCCCAUGAAGUCGGAGUCGCUAGUAAUCGCAGAUCAG
rnacentral:rRNA from 1 species